UCCCUGGAUUGUGCCUUCUCCUCUUGCAGGCGUUCCCCCCUGUCUGCAAGUUGAGAAUGGGUCGUUGACAUGAUUGUGUAAUGACUAUUUUGCCCCUGGAAUAAAAUAAGUAGCCCAUUCAGUAAAUCUCUAUGCUUGGUUGCUUGUUGAUGUGCUUGUAUUGCUAUAAUUGCCCGAUCAUGAUAUUUUUCAUAUGAUAACUGUGGUUUUUCCCCCUUUUUAUGAGAAUGGGGCAGGAGGUCCUAACAUUUACGUUCCUUUGUCCAGGUGAACGCGUAAGGAGCUUGGCUGACUUGGCUUGAAAAGAGUUCAAACCAAGUGCCACACGGUUCCAGGCUAGUGUCAAAAUCUGAAACCGUGACAAUUGGUAUCAGAGCCAAAAAUGAUCGAGAAUAGUGUGGAGGUAUGACAAAAUCUACCACACGCAUUGAUGCUAUUGAGAGAAGGGUUGAGAACAUUGUUGCUCUAUUGAGUGACUAUGCCACCCAAGAGGGGAUGGUAUUGGAAUUUGAUUCUGCUUAUAAGCGCAUUGAGGCGCUAGAGAAAGAAAAUGAACGGCGAUUGGCUAAGAGGGCUAAAUCGCCUAGAGGUGAGGGUGAGCCAAUAGCGCUUGAGGCCACCCAAAAUCCUUUUCAAGAGAAGGACAUCCGGUGGGGUGAUCUGGAGUCCAAAAUGAUAGAAUGGGAGGCAGUAGCCUCUCAAGUGAGAGACAUAAUGGAAAGUCUCAAAUCUGUUUCUGAUGCUCAUACCUCUUUGGUAGGGGUUGUCGAAGAGAUUAGAGAUGGUGCUAAAGAGACCAUUGAUACGGUCAAUGGUAAUGUCAAAGAAAGGAUGGACACGUUCCAAGGUAAGCUAGAAGAGCUUGAUGCGAGGGUGAACACCAUUAUGAAGAUUACAGGGAGCAAUGGCAUGAAAUCUUAUGGGGCAGAGAGGACAAAGGUCCCGGAGCCGAAAGCUUUCGGCAGAGCAAGGGAUGCAAAAGAAGUAGACAAUUUUCUUUUUGACAUGGAGUUGUUCUUUAGAGUUACCAAGCGAGAGUCCGAGGAGGACAAGCUGUUGAUCUUACCCUUGUAUUUGGUUGACGAUGCUAAAUUGUGGUGGCGUAAUAAAAUAGUGAGAGCGGGGUCGGGGGCAAACCAAGUUACAACGUGGGACAUGUUCGCCAAGGAGUUAAGAGCUCAAUUUUGUCCAGAGAAUGUGGCAUAUGAUGCACGGUGCAAGUUGGGAGAGUUACAACAAACAGGUUCGGUUUGAGAUUACGUGAGGGACUUCUCACGCCUCAUGCUAAACAUAGAGAACAUGCAGGAGGAGGAUCGGUUUUACAACUUUAUGAAAGGGUUGAAACCUUGGGCUAAGAAUGAAUUAAGGAGACAGAAGGUGACAGAUGUUGAUGCAGCUAUAGCGACAGCUGAGGGCCUAGAGGAUUAUUCCAACUCAUCUAGUAAGCGGAAGCUCAGUUCUACUAUGGGGCAAGACCCUCACCCUAACAAGUGGGUGAAGGCCCAAAGUGGGGGAACAAAUUGAUUGAAUCACACUAUUGGAGGGGUAGAAAGAAGGAACUGAAGUGGGAACGUGAAAUCAAAACCUUAUUUUCAAGGAAGGGAAUUGAGCUCUACAGGAUCACAGGGCAAUCGACCCCAAGGAUCAAGUUCGUUCUCAUUGCCAAGACUUAAUGUAAAGUGCUUCUUAUGUCUUGGACCCCAUCGAAUGGUAGAUUGCCCUCAUAAAGGGGCGUUGAAUUCCCUACGAACUCUACAAGAGGAAGAGAAGAGAAAUGAAGAGGAGGAACAGAAAGAAGGGGACAAUGACCAAUCUAUGGUAAGGGCUCUCCGUUUUCUAGGAGCUAUGGAAAAGCAAAGAGCCAGCAAAUCCUCUGAGAGAGGAUUAAUCUAUGUGGAUUUGACUAUUAACGGGAAGUUAGCCAGAGCCUUAGUUGAUACGGGAGCUACUGACAACUUUAUAGCUGAUUCGUUGGUUUCUCGUUUUGAAUUGAAGAUCAAAGAGGAUAAGGGGAAGAUAAAAGCAGUUAAUUCCAAAGCACAAAAUAUGGUAGGCGUGGCUCAAUCAGUAGCUUGUGAAAUGGGACCGUGGAAAGGGGAGGUGAAUUUCACAGUAACGCCAUUAGAUGACUUUGAUGUAGUGAUUGGAAUGGAAUUUCUUAAGACAGCACGGGCAAUGCCGAUUCCCUCAGCCGACUGUCUUAUCCUCAUGGGAGACAGACCGUGUGUGGUACCCACCACUUUCAUUCCGUUUUGUGAGAAGAAGUUGAUUUCAACGUUACAAUUUAAGAAGGGGGUGAGGCGCAAGGAGCCGACGUACGUGGUGGUUCCAGUUAUGAAGGAAGAGGGGGAGAUGUCUACAUACCCCCUUGAGAUCAGGGACGUGAUGCUGAGAUACAAGGAUGUUAUGCCAGAGAAGUUGCCAUCUGUUUUGCCACCUCGUCGAAGUAUCGAUCAUGAAAUAGAGUUGUUACCAGGUACAAAGGCUCCAGCAAAAGCGCCUUACCGGAUGGCACCCCCAGAACUGGCGGAAUUGAGGAAACAGUUGGAUGAGUUACUAGAAGCUGGGUUUAUACGACCAGCAAAAGCGCCCUUUGGGGCUCCUAUGCUUUUUCAAAAGAAACAAGACGGAAGCUUAAGGUUGUGUGUGGAUUAUCGAGCUCUGAAUAAGGUGACAGUGCGGAAUAAGUAUCCUAUUCCCUUGAUAGCAGAUUUGUUUGACCAAUUGGGUCCGGCAAAGUUUUUUACCAAGUUGGAUCUUCGAUCAGGGUAUCAUUAGGUUCGGAUUAAAGAGGGGGACGAGCCCAAAACAACAUGUGUAACACGGUAUGGUGCUUUUGAGUUUCUUGUUAUGCCUUUUGGACUAACAAACGCCCCUGCUACUUUUUGCACUUUGAUGAACCAGGUUUUUCAUGAAUAUCUUGAAAAUUUUGUGGUGGUCUAUCUUGACGAUAUUGUGGUAUAUAGCUAUUCACUGAAAGAACACAGGGAACAUCUUAGUUUAGUAUUCGAGAAAUUGAGGGAGAAUAAUCUCUUCAUCAAGAAAGAGAAAUGUGUGUUUGCUCAAACCAGAAUCAAGUUCUUGGGUCAUGUGGUCGAGCAGGGAAAAAUAAGCAUGGAUCAGGGUAAAGUGAAAGCCAUUCAAGAUUGGAAGGUGCCCAAAGGUGUAGCAGAGUUGAGAUCCUUCCUGGGAUUGGCAAACUACUACAGGCAAUUUGUGAGGGCAUAUUCCCAAAAGGUGUGUCCCCUCACAGAGCUCCUAAAGAAGGGAAAUAAGUGGCAGUGGAUAGACGAGUGCCAAGCAGCUUUUGAUGAUAUGAAGAACACUAUGAUGGCUGAACCAGUAUUAGCUCUCCCCGACAUGAGUAAACCAUUUGAGGUGCAGACAGAUGCUUCCAACCUGGCACUAGGAGGAGUACUCAUGCAAGAAGGACAUCCGGUAGCAUUUGAGAGCCGAAAGUUGAAGGAAGCGGAAGUUCGAUAUACAGCCCAGGAGAAGGAGUUAUUAGCAGUGAUUCAUUGUCUAAGAACCUGGAGACUUUACUUACUGGGGUCAAAGUUUGUAGUCAAGACAGACAACAUGGGUGUCAGCCAUUUCUUUUCUCUGCCGAGACUAACACCUAAGCAAGCAAGGUGGCAUGAAUGUUUGUCUGAGUUUGAUUUCCAGUUCGUGUACAACCCAAAAAGUUCUAAUAGGGUGGCCGAUGCUUUAAGCAGAAAACUUGAGAUAGCAACCCUGAAGCGGAUAGCUCAAUUGUCCCAGAGCGUAGCAAAGUCAACGUUGAAAGAAAGGAUUCGAAAAGAGUUACUAAAGGAUCCCCAAGCCAUGGCCUUGAGGAAAUUAGUGGACAACGGCAAAACUAGGCAAUUUUGGUUAGAAGCGGACUUGAUCAUGACAAGGGGGAAGAGAAUCUAUGUCCCUAAAGCAGGGGGACUUAGAAGUUUGUUAUUAAAGGAAUGUCAUGACACUAGGUAGGCUGGCCAUUCAGGGUGGCAGCGUACUUUAGCCCUUCUGAAGCAAGGGUACUUUUGGCCCAAAAUGGAGAAUGACGUCCAAGAGUAUACAAAGACUUGUUUGGUUUGUCAACAGGAUAAGACGGACAAACAAAAACCAGCAGGGUUGUUACAGCCAUUACCAGUGCCGAGUAGGCCAUGGGAAAGUGUUUCCAUUGACUUUAUCGCUGGACUCCCAUGGGUAGGGGAAUUUGAUCACAUCCUGGUGAUUGUCGACAGGUUUUCCAAAUAUGUCACGUUCGUGCCGGUGUCAAAAUAUUAUUCGGCAGAGGAGACUGCUAAAGUAUUUUUCAAGCAUGUUGUAAAAUACUAGGGAAUCCCAAAGAGCAUAGUUAGUGACCGUGAUGCAAGAUUUACAGGGUCAUUUUGGUCGGAGCUGUUCAAGUUGUUGGGCACCAACUUGGCGAUGUCCUCAAGUUAUCAUCCUCAGACAGACGGACAAACGGAGAGAGUUAAUGGAAUGUUGGAGGAGUACCUACGACACUUUGUUAGUGCCAGCCAGAAGAAUUGGGUUUUCCUCCUUGACGUUGCUCAAUUUUGUUUUAAUUCUUUACAGAGCUCUACUACUAACAAAAGUCCUUUUGAGAUUGUGACAGGUCAACAACCGUUGGCACCUUAUAAUGUAGAUGGGCCUUAUUCCGGCCGCAAUCCGAAAGCAUUACAGUUCAGUAAGGAGUGGAGGCAAAAUAUGGAGCUUGCCCGCGCUCAGUUAGAGAAAGCUAAGAGUCAUAUGAAGAAAUGGGCAGAUGAGAACCGACGCCCGCAGGAGUUCACAGUUGGUGACUUGGUUAUGGUGAAGCUAUUACCAGAGCAGCUGAGAUUCCUUCGCAACCGUGACAAGAGAUUAGUCCGCAAGUAUGAAGGACCAGUGCCAGUAGUUGCCAAGAUUGGACCAGCCGCUUACAGGAUCGAACCUCCGAAGUGGAUGACAGUCCACCCAGUAUUUCACGUCAGCAAAUUGAAGCCAUAUUAUGCCGAUGAGUCAAAUGCCAGCCAUAACACGGCAUCGCGACCAGCAGUAACCCGCACACCACCUGUCAAUCAAGGAGUUGAAGAAAUCUUAGCGGAACGAGUGUACCUUGUCAAGUGGAACGGCCUUGGUGUUAAAGAAACCAGUUGGGAGAAGGAGUCAAGUCUACAGGCAUAUGCACACAAGAUAGUGGACUUCAUUAAUGCUCAGUCGACGAGGACGUCGACCAUUUAAGUGGGGGAGUGUCAGGGUCAUAGAGUUUUAGGGACCAAAACUGUAAUUUUCUAAUAUUAGAAUUUUCGAGAAAUAAUGAUGGGAUAAAUUAGUAGAAAAUAGUAGUAAGAAAAGAGGCGUGUCAGUUUCUUGUAAUUCCUUUUCAUUUAUUUAUUAAGGGGGGUGUCACCUCAGACAUAUUGAUGUCUCCUCCCACCAUAGUUCUACUUGUUCUUAAGGCUCUUUAGGGGGGAGUGACUAGUUGGCCACCAGCAAGGGCUGGGCCCGACUGGUCACUAGCAAGGGCUGGGCCCGACUGGCCACCGUAGGCUUGUUGAGUCCCUGGAUUGUGCCUUCUCCUCUUGCAGGCGUUCCCCCCUGUCUGCAAGUUGGGAAUGGGUCGUUGACAUGAUUGUGUAAUGACUAUUUUGCCCCCGGAAUAAAAUAAGUAGCCCAUUCAGUAAAUCUCUGUGCUUGGUUGCUUGUUGAUAUGCUUGUAUUGCUAUAAUUGCCCGAUCAUGAUAUUUUUCAUAUGAUAACUGUGGUUUUUCCCCCUUUUUAUGAGAAUGGGGCAGGAGGUCCUAACAUUUACGUUCCUUU
rnacentral:lncRNA from 1 species